CCUGAUUACCCAUAGGAGGUCCAGCCUGCCCAGUGACUAAGUUAAACGGCCGCGGUACCCUAACCGUGCAAAGGUAGCGCAAUCACUUGUUCUUUAAAUGAGGACUAGUAUGAACGGCAUCACGAGGGUUAUGCUGUCUCCCUACUCUAUUCAGUGAAACUGAUCUCCCCGUGAAGAAGCGGGGAUAAAGAUAUAAGACGAGAAGACCCCAUGGAGCUUUAAACUCAGUACCAACUGCCCCCACAAUAACCUAUUACCCUUGCAGCCAUGGUUACUAGUUUUCGGUUGGGGUGACCACGGAGUAAAAUUUAACCUCCACGAUGAAAGGAACUAAUAUCCUAACCUAUGAGCUACAGCUCUAAGUAUCAACAAAUUGACUAAUUGACCCAAUUACUUGAUCAACGGACCA
rnacentral:rRNA from 1 species